UACGUAGGGGGCAAGCGUUGUCCGGAUUUAUUGGGCGUAAAGAGCGUGUAGGCGGCUAGGUAGGUCCGUUGUGAAAACUCGAGGCUCAACCUUGAGACGCCGGUGGAAACCAUCUAGCUAGAGUCCGGAAGAGGAGAGUGGAAUUCCUGGUGUAGCGGUGAAAUGCGCAGAUAUCAGGAAGAACACCCGUGGCGAAGGCGGCUCUCUGGGACGUGACUGACACUGAGGCGCGAAAGCGUGGGGAGCGAACAGG
rnacentral:rRNA from 1 species